GCUGCCGAAGCGGAGCGUGCGAACUUAACCACUUGGCCAAGGGGCUGGCCCCUGUCAUUUUUUGCCAGAUAACAUACUAACUCACCUUCCCAAGCUUUAAGAUCAUUUUGAAGUUGUAUCCUAAUGGGAUUUCUCCUUGUUCCAUGAAGAUUUUACUGUUUAAACCAAACAAAAUUCUUUUAAACCAAGUUAUAUAGUGGUUUCCUCAUAAGGCAAUCCUUGCUCACGACUUUAAGCUUGAGCUUUAGUGAACUGUUGCAUUGAGUAAAUUGUUGCAUAUACUUGAAAUAUAUAUUUGAAAUAUAUUUGUUAAAAUAACAUUAUUUCAGGAAAAAAAAAAGUCCCCUGGAGAAAGAUGAAUGAUAUUGGGGCUAUUUCAUUACAGACCAGAAUGUGGAGGGUUAACUGUGUUCAUCUGCAUGAAGGGCUUUUGGGAAAGAGAUAUAUGAUUACUAGUUAUCCAUGUCUAGAGAGGAUAAAUAAGAAACUCAGGGCUUAACUUAAAGCAAGAGAGCCACAAGUUAGCAGCAGGAGGAACUCGGCUGCAGCAGUCAACUGAGGAUGAGAAUAGCAAACACAUGGGAAACUUUGGGAUUUCACUUGCCUAAAAGCAGGACCUGGCUGAGAGUCUCUCUUGAAGCCCCAUGGAACUGGAAGAAUUAUAAAAAGAAAGCACAACUACAUGGAGGAAUACGGAAAUGAUUUUUCCCAAGUUAAAAAAAAAAAAAGGAGCUUUUGAUAUUGCUUGCAUAUGAGAUGAUCAAAUGAGAUAGCAACAGGUGCCCAAAGAACAAAGGAGGUGACGACCCUAAGGACUGGCCUGUGAUAUGUUACACAGAAGGCUGGCAAAGGUUUGGAUAACAUAAUACGUACCGAAAACAUUCAUUUGUUCACUCAUUCAUUCAGCAGUGUGUACUGGGUGCCAACUACAUGCCAGAUCCUGUUCUAGGCACUCGAACAUGUGUAGUUUACAUGCUAUUAGAGGGUCACUAACAGGAAAUAAUAAAGGUAGCAAAUAAGUAAAUCAUAAAGUAUGUUAAGAUGUGAUGAGUGAUGAGAAAGAAAGAAAAAGGUAGAGUGGAUUAAAAGGGAUCAUGAGUGCAGGGGUGGGGGCUGAGAUGCAGAAUGAGAGUGGUCCAGCCAGGGCAGGCCUCACUGAGAACAAGUAUUUGAGUAAAGACUUGCAGGAUGGGGGGAGGGAGGGAGGCCAGCGGCUGUCACUGGGGAUGACUGCUCCAGGCUGAGGGAAGAGCUGAAGCAAAGGCCCUAAGGCACAAGGCCCCUGUGGGGGUUGGAGGAACAGCAUGGAGGCCACGUGGCUGGAAGGGAGUGCGGGAAGAGAAACGGGGGAGGAGGUUGGAGGUAAGAGGGGUGGAAACAGAUCAUGAAGGGCUGUGUAGACCUUGGUCAAUACUUUCAAUUUUACUGUGAGUGAAACAGUAGCCACGGCAAGGUUUCAAGCGGAGGAGUGACAGGAUAUGACUUUCAUCUUAAAAUGCUCACUCAGACUGCUGUGUUGAGAACCGGCUGAAGAAGGAAAGAGCAGAAGCAGAGAGCCCUUCAAGAGGCUCUUGCCGUGAGACGAGAGACGAUAGUGGCUCCGACUGAGGUGGUGGCAGUAGAGGUAAUAAGUUAGGGUGAUAGCAGGUUAUAAACAAGGAAGAAAAAUGGUCCAAGAGCUGCCAUAGACAGGUUGUACCCAUACAGGAAAGAGUCACACAUUCCUUUUUUCAUCAAGGAAACAAAAUCAACCACUGUGUGUUUGCCUUGUUUACGUUGAAUGUUGCUGCAUAAUUUCUCAAAAUGACUGACAGCAUUUGAGGUAGAGAUGAGUUUCCUCUGGCUAUUAUUGGAGAACAGCAGAGUAAUUUCUCUUACAACGUAACACACUGAUGUUAUUUGUGGGUUUAGACUGCAGUGAUUACUCUGUUUGUCUGCAAACAAAGUAAAUUGCCUUAAAAAAUAAAUUGGAAGCUCAUUUGAAAGUAGAAGACCAUUUAGGGGACAAGCGUAAGUGAGGAAUAUAAAAGAAGUGUCCCUUUGUACACAAGGGAAUUAUUCGGUUUUCUUUAUCUUGAUCUCGAUCAAAUAUUGAAUGGCAUGGACUGUCCGAGACAUACACGAUGCUAUUGGGUUCUCGCUUUCAAAAUGGAAUUCCACCUUCCUCUGCAGUCCACCACAGUGCCCGCUCCAUCGGGGGCAGAUCUAGUUUCAGCCUCCCACCCCUUCUGUACCCGCAAGCCUCUGUGCUGAGAUUUCCUGGUCUUGGUGUCAGUGGCCGAUAGUGCUGUAGGGAAGAAGGUCACUCAGAUCUGCAGAAUCAUCUACAAAGGCUCAUCAGGGCACAGAGGUCAUGGUCAAUCCCUUCAUCUCCCAGACUCUUUCAGAGGGGAGCCCUUCUGUAGUAAGGGAUCCUGAGCAAGGGCCAUCCAGUCAAUGAAUGGGUACAGUAUCCCAGGCACUGUGCUGGGCGCUGAGAAUAUCACUCAGGGAGCACUUGUUGCUGCUGGAAGGUUAGAAAAUGAGUUUUUCUCAUUCAGCCAACAUCUGUCUCUUUGUAAAUUCUGCCUCCAUCUGGAAUUUUGUCCUCUGGACAGGAAUACUCAAUGACUGUAUCUAUCCCUGGGUAUCAGCCCUUCUUGUGUUUGUAGACAUGACUAUCUUCAUGAAUGGGUACAGAAUGGACCCUGCUCCUUGAAGCCUGAAUCACCCUGGAACAGUUCCUGGAAUCAUCUAGAAAGACAGAAGCAAAUGUGGCUCACCUGGGUAUUACGCCUUGCACUGCUCUACCGGCCCCAUGGGAUCCCUGCCGGAGUGCACACACCCAUCUUUCCAGACCCCUGGAACACUACUGUCCCCCUGAUGUUCUUCUAGUGGCCAAUCUCUAGCCUGAUCAUGUUGCCUAGGCCUCUGUCCAGCCCAUCCCUGUUUCCUUUUUAUUACCCAUCGUUUCUAAGGUAUUAGCAAAACUCCUGUCUGAAUGGCUCAAUUAGUUCUUUGGAUAGAUAAGUAGACUUGGGGCCUCUGUGCUGCCCUACAAGACCCUUCCCCAAACCCAGGGCACGUCCCAGCAGGGUUAUUGCAGGGUCAGCCCCAUUGUCCUCUGUCCAUGUGUCUGUUACACCCCACGAACUGGUUCUGCAUUCCAGCUAGCACCACCUCCCUUCCCUAUCCAGUAUGACCAGGGCUGAGUGCAACCAGCCUCCGGCCACGGGGUAGCAUUGCCUUUCCUGGCCCUAGAGCUAGUGACAUGGCUGCUGGGCCCAUAAGGAAUCUUAAUUAAAGGCAAUAGAGCAAAGGAGAGUAUGGCCCAACCUAGUUUCUGAUAGGCUCUCCUUGGUCUUAUGAGUGGAAAUGGAAGAUAUCCUGAUCCUAGAUAUCUUCCCCUGUGCCUGUGAGCUUGACCACACUAUGGACGACACUGGCAGGAGUGGGAAGUUAAUGUCAUGCCCAUGAUAUGAGGUCAAUCUUUCAACAGCAUUCAACCAGGACUCACAACACCUGGCUGUAAAGGGGCCACUAGAGUGGCAGUAGGCAAAUCAGAGUCCUAGACGUAAAAACUAAACAGGAUCCUAGUGGUCUGCUGUGGAAGCAGCUCUGCCUGCUGGGGUUCCUCAGCUCUGUUUGUGUAGUGACCCUCCAGCCAGCGUCCCUCAGCCAGGACUUUAUCUGCCUCUUCUGGUUGUAAAAAGAAUUGCCAGGGCCUCUUGGAGUCAAUAAGAAUGGUCAGAAGGACUUCCUGCAGAUCCUGUGAUGCAGAUGGUUAUUGUUCAGUGCUGGGCCUGUGCUAGGUACUCAAUAUGCAAUUGCCAGGAAGACAUGCAGUCUGUCCUCAAAAAGCUCACAGCAGAGUGAAGAAGCUUGGUUUUCCAGAUCAAUGGAUGGUGAGUUGCAGAGAAUCUUCAAGAACUCUACCAUCUUUUGACAUGUCAGGGAUCUAAAUGAAAAAUGAAAAAUAUGGAAAUGGGUCUUUUGAAAGCACCUUCUUGAGCAACUGCUCAGGUUCAAGAUAGGUGAGCUCAAGAUAAGGUUUUACUAUAGAUGAUGUAACUGCUCUAACUACAACCACGGAAAAAGCAAGGUUGGAAGUCUUCCUGAGGCCACUCCAAGUUCUUCCAGUGAAGGUCACCAUUGCGGAUCCUCUUCUUUAAGGAGAACAAAGGUGUUCUGAGGUAGUGGAUUCCCAAGCAUGAGGCUGCUUCAGGAAUCCCAAGCUCAUAGUUCUAUGUCUGGGUUCAUUCAUCACUGUGGAUGCAAGCUACUACUUCUCACAACCUAGAAUUUACUAUUGAAGCUGAGUUUAACCACGGUAUCACUGAUGAUGGAGACCACUGGGGAUCAGCUACUUGGAACUGAGGAAGGAGUGGUACCCAGAAUUCAUAAAAGCCCCUGACGAUAUAUAGCAGGAGUAAAGGAAUUCCACUGCCUACGCAAAACGCUGUGCCUUUACAUGCUGAUUACAAGCCUCUGUGAUAAUUUUUUUCUUAAAAUAAACCAAGUCUCAGAAUGGUGUCAUCCCCA